rnacentral:rRNA from 1 species
AUUGAACGCUGGCGGCAGGCCUAACACAUGCAAGUCGAGCGGCAGCGGGAAAGUAGCUUGCUACUUUUGCCGGCGAGCGGCGGACGGGUGAGUAAUGCCUGGGGAUCUGCCCAGUCGAGGGGGAUAACUACUGGAAACGGUAGCUAAUACCGCAUACGCCCUACGGGGGAAAGCAGGGGACCUUCGGGCCUUGCGCGAUUGGAUGCACCCAGGUGGGAUUAGCUAGUUGGUGGGGUAAUGGCUCACCAAGGCGACGAUCCCUAGCUGGUCUGAGAGGAUAGUCAGCCACACUGGAACUGGGACACGGUCCAGGCUCCUACGGGAGGCAGCAGUGGGGAAUAUUGCACAAUGGGGGAAACCCUGAUGCAGCCAUGCCGCGUGUGUGAAGAAGGCCUUCGGGUUGUAAAGCACUUUCAGCGAGGAGGAAAGGUUGGUAGCUAAUAACUGCCAGCUGUGACGUUACUCGCAGAAGAAGCACCGGCUAACUCCGUGCCAGCAGCCGCAGUAA